rnacentral:misc_RNA from 1 species
AGGUCGUGCUGAGUCAG